UGUGGGAGCGUGAUCGCUGGGCCCGCCCGCCAGGCGGGCAGCGCCAGGGGUCGGGUGCGGGUUGUGGGGCUCGGCCCGGUUCCAGCCGGACGAAUGGGCGCUCUGCUGGAGGGAGUGGUCCGGGUUGUCCUGCAGAUUCUUCCCAAACAGCGGCCCGCAAGAUAACCGGUGGUGGAGAGCUGUGUGCAUGCAAGCCACAGGGAGGGAAUGCUUCAGUGCCCAUGUGUCAAUAGCGCUACACCAAGGGGAGGAUAUCCUACUUCAUGAUGGGCCCCCGCUUACAUCGUGUGAAAGUACGCAAGCCAUGCUAUCUAAUGAGGCAAAGAGAAGGAAGAAGGAAUGAAAGUGGCGGAAAAUUAGAGUCCUGUGAGCUUCCUUGUUUCCUUCCAGCCCUCAGAAAGUGCAUUUGUUUAUUUUGAAUUGUGCUUUAGAUUUUUUUGUGUUAUCCAUGAGACUGGAGUUAUGCUGUCCGUAAUCGCUUUUGCUUGCUAGAAAGGUCAUUCUGUCAGGAUUCAGGUGAGCAUAAAUUCGGAAAAGAAAGUUUCGAUUCUGUUUCUGACAUGAACUUUGGGUCCAAUAUCAAAUCUGGAGGGAGAGAAGUCAGCUGUGUUUGUAGGUACAAAGAUCAGAUGUAAAACGUCAAGUGUUCAGAGUAACAACUAAGAUAUUAGGUACUCAGGGAUUUGUUACUACAUAUUAUUUAUUCAACUAUAGCACAAAGAUAUUCUGGCAUAACUUCAAAUGGCAAUAUGAGACUGGAGUCUCAUGGCGUGAACCCACAAAAGCAGGUAUUAAUGGAUGAUUAAUUUUUAAAUUUGGUAUAGUAAUAACUCUCAAGUAGAUUUUUGCUUGUUUCUUUGUUUAUAAAAGAAAAGGUCACAUUUAACUGGAAAGGAACCCAAAUCUCUCCAUUAUCCAGUUAGGACUCUCUAGCCUUCUGAGAAGUGCUCACGUUAACACAUUUUAGUCAACAUGGGCAUAUUUUAUCAGAACUUGUGGAGAAUGCUGACUCAGGAUAAGGCAAAACCCACAAGGCAUUGAACUAAUUGUGCAAUACUUUAUGUGGAAAAAUUACUUACUGAUUCCUGUGUUAGCUGCCAGUGUUUUGAAACAUGGUGUUUGAGUAUCUGCAUUGUAUACUUAUCCUCAAGAUAAAAAUGUUAAUCUUAUAUUUAUAAUUUGUAAUGUACACAUUUUAGAUAUUUAUAUUCAGAUUUAACUAUUAUAUUCAAUUCCUCUUCUCCCUUUUUAAGCAAUAUUAUCUCUUUCAACAAGGGAUGAUUCUCAUACAUCCUUCUAGAUUCCUUCAUGUUUAAAAUGUCAUCCACCACCUCACGGCAUUCAUUUCUGCUGUGAACAUUUUCUGAGAGAUGCUGAGUAGUGCUUGUGUAGCUGGAAAACUCUGCAAUGAAUUUCUAACACAUCGAGCUGUUUGAGCUGACUGAAAUGCAAGCUGUGAACAGUGAAAAUGGCUCUAAGUCCAUAAAUUUGGGAACAUUUAUGCAGCUUUAUUAAUAUAAGUGUUUCCAAGCAAUGCAGACUACAGCAUAUGUGAUUGUCUCAAAAUAGAGGAGGUUAACAUCAAGUUUACCCCAGAGUGUUUUGACAUAAUCCCAGGGCAAUGGCUUUUGGUGGAAACUGUUGAUGAAAACUAGCCACAAAAAUCCAUUUUUGUAGGCUGAAUGGUCAGUACAUUUAUGUUUGGGAGCCAAAGAUGUUUCCCAUGGUGGGAAUAUCUUGGAGCCUUGCACACAGGUAAAGCCUGCCCUCCUUCUGUAGGAUCCCGGAGAGAGUAUGGCAGAGACCCAAAGACCCUUGGACACAUACUUCCUCAUAGGGUUCAGCACUCCAGCAUUUCUGGGAGUGCAGUUUAGAGCACCAGAAGCUAGAGGGGCCUCUGGAGGACUUUUAUUGUGCCCCAGUUUUUUAUUUUUCUUAAAGACCACCUAUACAUUUUUCUAGCUGCCAGACUAAUAAUGCAGCUGGGUUGAAAAAGUUUCCAUUUAAUUUCUACAUAGUUGCGAUGUCACAUUUUUUGGACGUGAGAAAAUGGACAGGUACAGAGAUUUAAGUAUACAAACAUACCCCGGAAUGGAUCUUUGUUUGUUACAGGACAUUAACCAUACUAAUUCACAGAAGUAUACUUGAAAGUCCUAUUUGUUUAAGUUAACACCAAAAUGUGGUUUUGCCAAGUGUUUACAGCCAAUGGAGAUUGAGUUCCUGGGGUGUUCAGUGCUGUGUACAGAGGCAGUUCAGAGUUUGCCAAUGUACAGGAGGCUCACAGCAUUGCAGAGGGUUUAUUCACUUAGGUAGAAGAUGUCAGAACAGACUCAAAUUGGAAGUUUUUCUAUGCUGCCUUGCAUAACAUGGUUAUGAUAAAAACAGUGAUAAUUUAAAUAAAUCAGAUGUUUUUGCUGAAGAUUAUGCUGUCAUUUUCUCCAAUUAUUCUUGACAUUUCACCCAUUCGUAUUGUGAUCUGAGUUAAUAACGGAAGAAAAACCGGCUCUUGUUGCCUUGUUUAUUCUUUGUUCUCAAGGAGAUAAGUUGUUUGUAAAGAUAAGUUAUUUGUUAUUUAAAUCACUUUUACUGAAGUUGUUUGUUUCCUUGUUUGAGUUUCUAAAAAUAUUGCAACAAUUGUGAUGCAUCUUUGAGACAUCUAUUCAAUUCACUACGAUUUGUACUGGAAUUCAUUCCUAAGUGGGCACAGGUGUUGAUAGCUAUAAUGUACUAGAAUGAGUCAAAACCAAUAAAUGCUCAAUAAAGGAAAGAUGAAAGAAAAUGCACUGAAAACAGCUCUUUUAAGAUGUGAUAAAUUGGCACUUUGCUUCACUACUUAAUGAGGUAUAUAGCACUGAAGAUGUAUCUGGAGCAGCCACUUAUUUUAAACCAGCUGAACAUGUUAGAAUCAUGUUAGAAUCACUGUUAAUAUUUUCAGGAUCAUAAACAUUAUUUUUAAAAUGAGCAAUAAUAUUCAGGAUAUAAUAAACUUUUGUUUGCAAACUGUUCUAUAGUGCCCUGAUACAACAUUUUACUAUUCUCUUAUUAAAAAAAAAGUUGAUUAA